AAAGUGUCCUAUGCGACUGCCAUGGAUUGGUUCAUAGCUGUCUGUUUUGCUUUU
rfam:Rattus norvegicus chromosome 14, whole genome shotgun sequence.